AGUGAACGCUGGCGGUAGGCCUAACACAUGCAAGUCGAACGGCAGCACAGUAAGAGCUUGCUCUUACGGGUGGCGAGUGGCGGACGGGUGAGGAAUACAUCGGAAUCUACUUUUUCGUGGGGGAUAACGUAGGGAAACUUACGCUAAUACCGCAUACGACCUACGGGUGAAAGCAGUGGAUCUUCGGACCUUGCGCGAUUGAAUGAGCCGAUGUCGGAUUAGCUGGUUGGCGGGUGAAAGGCCCACCAAGGCGACGAUCCGUAGCUGGUCUGAGAGGAUGAUCGGCAACACUGGAACGGAGACACGGGCCAGACUCCUAAGGGAGGCAGCAGUGGGGAAUAUUGGACAAUGGGCGGAAGCCUGAUCCAGCCAUACCGCGUGGGUGAAGAAGGCCUUCGGGUUGUAAAGCACGUUUGUUGGGAAAGAAAAGCAGCAGGUUAAUACCCCGCUGUUCUGACGGUACCCAAAGAAUAAGCACCGGCUAACUUCGUG
rnacentral:rRNA from 1 species